rnacentral:rRNA from 1 species
UACGGAGGGUGCAAGCGUUGUCCGGAUUCAUUGGGCGUAAAGAGCGUGUAGGCGGCCAGGUAGGUCGGUUGUGAAAACUGGAGGCUCAACCUUCAGAGGUCGAUCGAAACCAUCUGGCUAGAGUCCGGGAGAGGAGAGUGGAAUUCCUGGUGUAGCGGUGAAAUGCGCAGAUAUCAGGAAGAACACCCGUGGCGAAAGCGGCUCUCUGGAACGGUACUGACGCUGAGACGCGAAAGCGUGGGGAGCGAACAGG